UGGGGUGCAGAUCAGUGGUAGAGUACUUGCCUUGCAAGUGUGAGGCACUGGGUUCGAUUCUCAGCACCACAU
rnacentral:tRNA from 1 species